CAAUAGCGUAUAUUAAAGUUGUUGCAGUUAAAAAGCUCGUAGUUGGAUUUCUGGUGGGGCUGUCGGCCUGGCUCCGAAAGGGGUCGUGGUAUCGUUACACGCCUGGCCAUCCUCGGGGGAAGCUUUGCUGGCAUUAAGUUGUCGGCGGAGUGACGCUCGUCGUUUACUGUGAACAAAUUAGAGUGUUCAAAGCAGGCUUAGGCCGUUGAAUACAUUAGCAUGGAAUAAUGAGAUAGGACUUUGGUGGUCUAUUUUGUUGGUUUGCACGCCGAAGUAAUGAUUAAUAGGGGCGGUUGGGGGUAUUCGUAUUCAAUUGUCAGAGGUGAAAUUCUUGGAUUUCUGGAAGACGAACUACUGCGAAAGCAUUUACCAAGGAUGUUUUCAUUAA
rnacentral:rRNA from 1 species